CAUAUCCAUUAAGCGGAGGAAAAGAAACUAACAAGGAUUCCCCUAGUAACUGCGAGUGAAGCGGGAAAAGCUCAAAUUUAAAAUCUGGCAGCCUUUGGUUGUCCGAGUUGUAAUCUAGAGAAGUGUUAUCCGCGCUGGACCGUGUACAAGUCUCCUGGAAUGGAGCGUCAUAGAGGGUGAGAAUCCCGUCUUUGACACGGACUGCCAGGGCUUUGUGAUGCGCUCUCAAAGAGUCGAGUUGUUUGGGAAUGCAGCUCAAAAUGGGUGGUAAAUUCCAUCUAAAGCUAAAUAUUGGCGAGAGACCGAUAGCGAACAAGUACCGUGAGGGAAAGAUGAAAAGAACUUUGGAAAGAGAGUUAAACAGUACGUGAAAUUGCUGAAAGGGAAACGCUUGAAGUCAGUCGCGUUGUCCAGGGAUCAACCUUGCUUUUGCUUGGUGCACUUUCUGGUUGACGGGUCAGCAUCAAUUUUGACUAUUGGAAAAAGAUUAGGGGAAUGUGACAUCUUCGGAUGUGUUAUAGCCCUUGGUUGCAUACAAUGGUUGGGAUUGAGGAACUCAGCACGCCGCAAGGCCGGGUUUUUAACCACGUACGUGCUUAGGAUGCUGGCAUAAUGGCUUUAAUCGACCCGUCUUGAAACACGGACCAAGGAGUCUAACAUGCCUGCGAGUGUUUGGGUGGAAAACCCGAGCGCGUAAUGAAAGUGAAAGUUGAGAUCCCUGUCGUGGGGAGCAUCGACGCCCGGACCAGACCUUUUGUGACGGUUCCGCGGUAGAGCAUGUAUGUUGGGACCCGAAAGAUGGUGAACUAUGCCUGAAUAGGGUGAAGCCAGGGGAAACCCUGGUGGAGGCUCGUAGCGAUUCUGACGUGCAAAUCGAUCGUCAAAUUUGGGUAUAGGGGCGAAAGACUAA
rnacentral:rRNA from 1 species